GCCCUGGUGGCACAAUGGUUAAGUGUUGGGCUGCUAACUGAAAGGUUGGUGGUUCGAACCCACCCAGAGGCU
rnacentral:tRNA from 1 species